rnacentral:lncRNA from 1 species
AUGUCCAUUCAGUCGGUGAUGCCAUCCAACCAUCUCAUCCUCUGUCGUUCCCUUCUCCUCCUUCCCUCAAUCUUUCCCAGCAUCAGGGUCUUUUCUAAUGAGUCAGUUCUUCUCAUUAGGUGGCCAAAGUAUUGGAGCAUCAGCUUCAGCAUCAGUCCUUCUAAUGAGAUCAUCCUGAGUAAACUACACAUAUCAUGGCUCCAUUCAGCAUAUCUAAGUCCUUCAAAAAUGGACUUCAUUCUGGAGUUGUGGUGGGCAACCUGCAUCCCGGGGGCCCUGAGAAGAGACUCUGUCCAUUUGCCAUGAGUCAGCAAGAACCAGUGACCCUGCACUCAUCUCUCUGUGGCAGGCUUGGAUGGCCCUGCUCAGUCAGGCCAUGCUCCUACAG